CGCUUAGAUGUUCUGGGCCGCACGCGCGCUACACUGAUGCAUUCAACGAGUUUCUUCCUGGUCCGAGAGGAAUGGGUAACCUUUUGAAAGUGCAUCGUGAUAGGGAUAGACUAUUGCAAUUAUUGGUCUUCAACGAGGAAUUCCUAGUAGACGUAGUUCAUCAGACUGCAUCGAUUACGUCCCUGCCCUUUGUACACACCGCCCGUCGCUCCUACCGAUUGAAUGCUCAGGUGAGCCAUUCGGACUUUCAUCAUGCUGGUUUCCAGUUUUGAUGAAGGAAAGUCUUGCGAACCUUAUCAUUUAGAGGAAGGAGAAGUCGUAACA
rnacentral:rRNA from 1 species